ensembl:lncRNA
UUAAAAUCAUGUUGCUAACCUAUAAAUCCCUACAUGGUUUAGGCCCAAAACAUUUAACUGAUAUGCUUCCACUACAUAAGCCUUCUAGAACACUAAGAUCUUCUGAGACCAAUCUGUUAAUUAUCCCCAGAGUAAACACGAAACAUGGGAAAGCAGGAUUUAGUUACUAUGCAACAAAUAGCUGGAAUAAACUCCCUGAGGAUUUAAGACUUGCCCCAACUCUGAGCACCUUUAAAACAAGAUUGAAGACUUUUAUGUUUGCUUUAGCUUUCUGCUAAUUCUUAAAUACUUUGCCUUUAUUUUACUAAAAUGCCUUUUUAACUUUCCCUUUAUUUUCUAUUUUUACCAGAAAGAUACAUGAUCUGAUACCAGAGAGAAAGGAUAAGGGUUUGAGACCCAAGUUCUGUCUGGGUUAGAGUCCUAGAAUCUGGGUUGGAGUCCCAGAGAAAGGACCAAGUUCCUUAGGUUGGGUUGGAGUCCCAGAGAAAGGACCAAGUUCCUUAGGUCGGGUUGGAGUCCCAGAGAAAGGACCAAGUUCCUUUAGGUCGGGUUGGAGUCCCAGAGAAAGGACCAAGUUCCUUUAGGUCGGGUUGGAGUCCCAGAGAAAGGACCAAGUUCCUUUAGGUCGGGUUGGAGUCCCAGAGAAAGGACCAAGUUCCUUUUGGUCGGGUUGGAGUCCCGACGUGGGUUCCAGAGAGACUGUUGAUCUGAUCUUAAAUACAUUGCACUUUCAAUUUUACUUACUAAA